rnacentral:lncRNA from 1 species
GGAAAACUUACUUCCUUUAUGGAACCAGACUUGUGUUCCUCAUAGUUUGGAUGUGAAGCCUGCCACCCUCAGCCCAUGCUUGUAUGCGGAUGCCUUGGUUCCAGCCAGUAGUGCUUUUGAGAGAUGCUUUUGAGAGGUGUUAACCUCAAUGGAUCAGUUCAUUGAUUCCCUUCCAGGAUGGUCUGCCAUGACUAGCACAGCUCCAGUGAUGGACCUGCCUAGACUGACGAGGUGGCUAAGAAAGGAGCUGCACACAAAGAAGAAUGGGGACUGGCUGGCCUGGGCCCUCUGAUGGAGAACCCUCUGUAUCGAGAACCACAGCGUAUUUAUUAUAUACAGCUGAACAGGGGGCUUGGGUUAGCGCAUACGGCUGAAAAUGGAGGCAUUUCUAGCAGCUCUGGGCGGGGACAGUCUCUGUAGCGGAGCAGUCUUUGGGCCAUAAACAUCCAGGGAGAGGAAGCUACAAUGGGGAUGUUCCGUGUGUACUAUCGACAUCUGUACACGGACCAAAGGAAAGCUUUGCUGUUCCUCCAAGCCUCAUCAAGUGUGUGUGUGUGUGUGUGUGUGUGUGUGUGUGUGUGUGUGUGUGUCAAGGUGUGGAGGGGGUGGAGCUUUCUGUCUUCCCAUGGGUCUGAGGCUAUGGUCCUUCACAUGGCUGGCUCCUGUCAACAAUACACAUUCACUUAGGACUUAACACACUCACCCCAGUUAUGAGCCCGAGAGAUGGCUCAGUCUUUAGAAGCACUGGCCACUUUUCUAGAGGACCACAUGGUGGUACCCACAGCUCUGUUUCCAGGGGACCUGAUGCCCUCUUCUCUCCUCCCAUGGGCAUUAGGCACACACGUGGCGUACUGACAGACAUGCAGGCAAAACUCUCACGCACAUUUUUAAAAUGCCCCCCAGAUAGCUGUUUUGUGGGCCCUUUCGCCAGUCCUGCUGCAGGGUAAGGAUCCCUGUGCCUUACUGCCUGUUCUUACUAAGUCACUGUGCUGUUAAUCAGGGUUUGAGUGCACUCAGGAAGCUUGCACAACUCUCUCCCACAAAUGGAGCUGUGUGUCUUAGUCUUGCCCAUGGGGAGGACUGAAUUGUGAUUGCAUAAGGACAGGCAAUGUUUUCCACUGGUUCAAAGCUAUGCAUUUUAAAUCUGUACAUGGUUUCAUAACCCAUUCAUAUCUUUAAGAUGACAAUAACACAAUGCAAACAAAUGACUUGAGGGUUUUUUGUUUGUUUCGUUGGUUUUUGUUAACUUGAGGUGUUUCAAUUAGCAGCUAUAUAUGAACAGGUCUUGCUGGCAAGCAGUGGUAUGCACUUCUUUAAUUCCAGCACCCGGGUGGAUCUCUGUGAGUUUGAGGCCUGGUGUACAUAGUGAGUUCCAGGCCAACUAGGGUGAGACCUUAACAAACAAAAGAUGUACACAAAUUUUUA